UAAUCCCUGCGGUGUGCGUGAUCUCUCGAUUGUUUUGAGCCAACACAUUGGUUGAGGGAGCCGAUUUCCGGAUGAGUGGCUCUGCAGGGCUUCUGCGGAGGUCCUCUGGGUCACUGGUAGGCGCCCACCUGCGUAAGCAGGUUCAAGACCACGAGGACACGGCAUGGCAGGGGUUAC
rnacentral:other from 1 species